GACGAACGCUGGCGGCGUGCUUAACACAUGCAAGUCGAACGGAAAGGCCCUGCUUUUGUGGGGUGCUCGAGUGGCGAACGGAUGAGUAACACGUGAGUAACCUGCCCUUGACUUUGGGAUAACUUCAGGACACUGGGGCUAAUACCGGAUAGGAGCUUCUGCUGCAUGGUGGGGGUUGGAAAGUUUCGGCGGUUGGAGAUGGACUCGCGGCGUAUCAGCUUGUUGGUGGGGUAGUGGCUUACCAAGGCUUUGACGGGUAGCCGGCCUGAGAGGGUGACCGGCCACAUUGGGACUGAGAUGCGGCCCAGACGCCUACGGGAGGCAGCAGUGGGGAAUAUUGCACAAUGGGCGGAAGCCUGAUGCAGCAACGCCGCGUGCGGGAUGACGGCCUUCGGGUUGUAAACCGCUUUCGCCUGUGACGAAGCGUGAGUGACGGUAAUGGGUAAAGAAGCACCGGCUAACUACGUG
rnacentral:rRNA from 1 species